rnacentral:rRNA from 1 species
AUUGAACGCUGGCGGCAUGCCUUACACAUGCAAGUCGAACGGUAACAGGUUAAGCUGACGAGUGGCGAACGGGUGAGUAAUGUAUCGGAACGUGCCCAGUCGUGGGGGAUAACUGCUCGAAAGAGCAGCUAAUACCGCAUACGACCUGAGGGUGAAAGCGGGGGAUCGCAAGACCUCGCGCGGUUGGAGCGGCCGAUAUCAGAUUAGGUAGUUGGUGAGGUAAAGGCUCACCAAGCCGACGAUCUGUAGCUGGUCUGAGAGGACGACCAGCCACACUGGGACUGAGACACGGCCCAGACUCCUACGGGAGGCAGCAGUGGGGAAUUUUGGACAAUGGGCGCAAGCCUGAUCCAGCCGUGCCGCGUGCGGGAAGAAGGCCUUCGGGUUGUAAACCGCUUUUGUCAGGGAAGAAAAGGUUCUGGCUAAUACCUGGGACUCAUGACGGUACCUGAAGAAUAAGCACCGGCUAACUACGUG